GACGAACGCUGGCGGCGUGCUUAACACAUGCAAGUCGAACGGAAAGGCCUGCUUUCCCUUGUGGAUUGCGGGUACUCGAGUGGCGAACGGGUGAGUAACACGUGAGUGAUCUGCCCCCAACUUGGGUAUAAGCCUGGGAACCUGGGUCUAAUUCCCGAUAGGACUGCAGGGUGGUGCCUGUGGUGGAAAACGAUUUUCUAGUGGUUGGGGAUGAGCUCGCGGCCUAUCAGCUUGUUGGUGGGGUAAUGGCCUACCAAGGCGGCGACGGGUAGCCGGCCUGGGAGGGUGGACGGCCACAUUGGGACUGAGAUACGGCCCAGACUCCGACGGGAGGCAGCAGGGGGGAAGAUUGCACAAUGGGCGGAAGCCUGAUGCAGCGACGCAGCGUGGGGGAUGACGGCCUUCGGGUUGUAAACUCCUUUCGACGGCGAGGAAGCCACCUGGUUGGAAGGGUGGUGACGGUAGUGGUAGAAGAAGCACCGGCUAACUACGUG
rnacentral:rRNA from 1 species